AUGGCUGUUGCUUGUAUUUUUGGUUUACUCCCAUUCUCACUUGGAAGGAUAAUUUUAUGGUGCAAGACGUCUUUCAAUUUUAACAGUGUGGAUGAAGUCGUUUCAACUUCAACAACUAUUCUGGUUGGAUAUGGAUAUAUCUUUUCUGUGGGCGUAUUUUUUGUUGGGCUGAAUACUUUUCGUGAAUACUUGACCGGGGAGCGCCUUACAAUUGCAAUUCUAUUUAGAAAGCUUUCUGGUAUAUUCUUCAGAGGGAUCUUGCGUUCAAUCAUUGGUGCCAAUAGUGGUGUUAAUCUUUUAUACAUAUAUAUACUACACCCAUUGUUCAUUGGUUGGUUGCUUGAUAUGUGGACUUCAAAAUUGUUUGGUGCAACAAUGUCUCAGAGGUUCAAAUUUCUGAUUGCGCCAUCGUUUUCAUCUAUGACUCUUCACUGGUUUACUGGACGCAACAUUUUGAGUCUGCGCAACAGAGUCUUCGUAUUUCUCCGCAAGGUAUUGAAGCCAGGAAUUAGGAUUCGCUUCAUCGGACAUAAUAUUUGGGAACCAUUCUAUAUAUUCUAUUUCAAGAGGCUUCCUGGCCUUUUUGACGACAUUACAUUCAUUGCUCUAGUAAUCCUUGUUCCUACUAAAAUUGCUGUCCAAUUGGAACCUGAGGAGUUCCCGCUAGACAUCACCUACUUUGAUCGUCCUGCUGAGGGCACAUCAUUCUGGCAAGGGCCACGGUACUAUGCAGAGGCACUUUCUGGUAUUCUUUAUCUCAGGUUUCUCACUGACAAUACAGUUUUAUACCUCGAGUGGUUAGUCUGGAGGGUAAGAUGCUAUUGGCUCUUCACUGCUGGAGAUGCCCUGUGGAACAUUGUCUCACCGAGGGAACAUUAUGAUAGCAGCGAUGAAGUUAACAAUAGAAGGAAAUUUGUUGUUGUUCAAACAAUGCCACAGGUGGUGCUAUCAUGGUUGGCAGUUGUGAUAUUCAAUUCUGCUAUGCUUUUAUCUUCAAUAUCUAUUGGCCGUACAUUGGUAUUUGCCGUCCCUGAGCUGCUAGUACGAGCUCAAAUGAAGUCCAAUGGUAAUUAUUAUUCAUUGAUGAUUAGUGGGCUUCCUCUGUAA
rnacentral:rRNA from 1 species